UCUUCUUUCUUUAUAUUGUUUGAGCUUGAUGCCUCCCCCUUUGUGGGAGUUGGUGAAGCAGGUAUGCCUCUUUUCAUUUGGAUAUAGUUUUUAGCCUUUGGGUCAAUAUAAUAAUCUGGUCCUAAUACCUUCCUUGCCCAAAGUAAGGCCUCAUCUAUACUGUAAUAUCUUUUGAAUGUUAAAUCUUGUCCAUUUCUUUUUGCAUCUAAUUUUUCAAUCAUAAUAUUCUCCCAUUCCAAAUAUAUGCCAGGUUUGUUUCCAUCAAAUAUAAGAUAUAGAGUUUCUCCUUUUGGUAUUUCAACCUUUGCUGGCUUUGGCACAUUUUUGUUUAAUUCAUUAAAAUAUUCAGCCAAACUGUUGAGAAUUGAUAAAAAAUAUCCUUGUUCCUCUCUUUUGCGAGUAUAUUGGAACCAAAAGUUAUCCAAUAUGCAUCUUUGAGCUUCAUCGAGCUUAAUAUGGGAUUUUGGCUUAAAAUUGAAUGUAUUUGGCUGAAACAUUUUCAGCCUAUUUUCUUCUCCAAAGAAGAGAUAUUCAUCCUUGUUGGCGAAUAAUCCUUUCCUCAUUCCUGCAAAUUUGAUGCACGAGAAAAUAUGUCAGAAUUCAAGGGGAUCUGGACUUGUGCUAUAUUCAUCAUCUAAAUUAGAUAUUUCUACAUUUUG